GAGUUUGAUCCUGGCUCAGGAUGAACGCUAGCGACAGGCUUAACACAUGCAAGUCGAGGGGCAGCGGGGGAGCAGCAAUGCUCCCGCCGGCGACCGGCGCACGGGUGAGUAACACGUAUGGAACCUGCCCGCAGCAGGGGGAUAAGCGGAAGAAAUUCCGUCUAAUACCGCGUAACACCGCAGAGGGGCAUCCCUCGGCGGUUAAAGAUUCAUCGGCUGCGGAUGGCCAUGCGGCGCAUUAGCUAGUCGGCGGGGUAACGGCCCACCGAGGCGACGAUGCGUAGGGGUUCUGAGAGGAAGGUCCCCCACACUGGUACUGAGACACGGACCAGACUCCUACGGGAGGCAGCAGUGAGGAAUAUUGGUCAAUGGCCGGGAGGCUGAACCAGCCAAGUCGCGUGAGGGAAGACGGCCCUACGGGUUGUAAACCUCUUUUGUCAGGGAGCAAGAGGCGGGUCGAGACCUGCUGUGAGAGUACCUGAAGAAAAAGCAUCGGCUAACUCCGUGCCAGCAGCCGCGGUAAUACGGAGGAUGCGAGCGUUAUCCGGAUUUAUUGGGUUUAAAGGGUGCGCAGGCGGAGGCACAAGUCAGCGGUAAAAUCGCGGGGCUCAACCCCGCUCCGCCGUUGAAACUGUGUCCCUUGAGUGCGCGAAGGGUAGGCGGAAUGCGUGGUGUAGCGGUGAAAUGCAUAGAUAUCACGCAGAACUCCGAUCGCGAAGGCAGCCUACCGGCGCGCAACUGACGCUCAUGCACGAAAGCGUGGGUAUCGAACAGGAUUAGAUACCCUGGUAGUCCACGCAGUAAACGAUGAAUGCUAUCUGUCCGGCCGGAAUGACGGCUGGGUGGCACAGCGAAAGCGUUAAGCAUUCCACCUGGGGAGUACGCCGGCAACGGUGAAACUCAAAGGAAUUGACGG
rnacentral:rRNA from 1 species